CACGUAGGGCGCAAGCGUUGUCCGGAAUUAUUGGGCGUAAAGAGCUCGUAGGCGGUCUGUUGCGUCCGCUGUGAAAACUCGGGGCUUAACCCCGAGCCUGCAGUGGAUACGGGCAGACUAGAGGUAGGUAGGGGAGAAUGGAAUUCCCGGUGUAGCGGUGAAAUGCGCAGAUAUCGGGAGGAACACCGGUGGCGAAGGCGGUUCUCUGGACAGUUCCUGACACUGAGGCACGAAGGCCAGGGGAGCAAACGGG
rnacentral:rRNA from 1 species